AGUCAUCUGAAGACUUGACUGGGGCUGGAGAACCUCCUCUCAAGGCAACUCCCACACAAGCCUAGGAAGUUCAUUCUGGCUGUUGGCAAGGGGCUUCUGUUCCUUGCCAUGUGGACUGCUUGCCAUAGGCUGCUUGAGUGGCCUCAUCACAGACAUGGUGGUUGGCUUUCCCCAGAAGACUCUUAGAAAGCCAGACCUUUAUAGGAAGAUGUGGGUUUAAGAUCUUUCACCACCUUCUUGAGCAACAUCCUGUCACCAUCAAGACUGAAGGUCAACCAACUGCCCAUGGAGGAAAGGCUUGAGAAAGCUUUUGCUGUGCCAAAAGGGGGAACUAUUUCUCCUGGAACAGAGUGGACAAAUGUGCAGCAGGUGAACAGAAUCAUAUUUGCUUUCCAGCUGUUGCACCAGCUGUGUCAUGCUGACAGUGGCCUCCACCUGUCUAACUCCUGCUUCCACCAAUUCAGAACCAAGAUAUUUUUAUACUCAUAUCCUGGUAUAAACCAACUGCUGAUGGAAGUUCUUUGAUGCUGAAUUUGGAAUCAAAUACAUUCUACUUUCUGGAAAUCCAUAUACUGGGUGGCUGCUUCAAUAGCAGCGGACACAAGAUGUAAAAUGCAGCAAUGGUCAAGGAAUUUCUCAGGGGAGGAAUCAAUCCUCUCAUUUUGGUGGAGGAACCUUGGAUACAGGGAGGAUGAGGGACUGACUCAAAGUCAUCUGGCAACUUAGAGACGAGGCCAGAGCUCCUCAAAUCUCCUAGCUCUGAAUCCAUGUUCUUUUUAUUGAGCGGGUCAUGACGUAACCCCCCAGAUGAGUGCAGCUUUUAAUCUCCCACAUCAAGGAGCCUGCUGGCUGCAGACUCAUGCAUACACAUCACGGUGGUUUCUGGGUGGUUGAUGCUCAUCACCCUCUGACUUCAUUUAUUUUUUCCUUUGCAAAAUGGCUAUUGCCCAGAGGCAGCAUCUCUUUUCUAAAAAGUGAACAUGCCAGAAGGGUUUUUGGAAACUGCCUUGCUAUCUGUAGGAGCCAGAUGAUUCACAGGGAUGAACCAAUGUACAUAACAAGGAUACCUGAUUGGAUUACCAAUUAGCCGUCUCCACCUCUGCAGGGUGGUUGGAAAGAAGAGAAAAGGCAGUGUUUAGUUUGGGCAAAUACCAAAAGGACUUUAUCAUUCUCAUCAAGGCAUCAGCGUGGCACAUUAGACCUCUUCCAAGCCAUUCCACUGGAACUUCUCUCUCCAAAUGCUCCAGCAAGAGUAAACUUGUUAUGCAAA
rnacentral:lncRNA from 1 species